ensembl:scaRNA
UUCGGAGGAAUAAGAAAGCACAGUCUCGAGAGUGUCCAUGACUUUGCUGAUACUCUCCUCCUAUAGAAAAGUGGUGGAAGAACAGGUCUUCUCUUGUGGCUGUGGAGUUCUGACCUACUUAAUCCACUCACAAGUU